UGUCUCAGUUGGUAGAGCAUGGUGUUUGCAACGCCAGGGUUGUGGGUUCGAUUCCCAU
rnacentral:tRNA from 1 species